UCAGUUGUUGCAAUAAUAUGUUCCAUUUCCCCAGAUCUCGCGUGCCCUCCACAGCGAUUCAGCGCUCCGCAGUGUCCCUCAGGGCUUGGACUGCAGCCCAGGGAGGAGGCCCUGUGUGCGGGACAGCAGUCAGCCAGCCUGGACGGUGGUGGGGAAACACCAGGUGUGCGUGGCAGCUCACCAGAGCCACCCUCCUGUUUGCCAGCGUAGACCAAGUCGCUUCAGAGGGCUGAAACCGGUGUUUCCAGGACAUACCAGUGGCGCUGUACAGAGAGAGGAGUAGAAAGUCCAACCAACCUGGCCCAAGUGCAGAGAAGAACCUGGAAGAGUUUCUUUUGUUGUCCAAAGGGCAGAAGGCAUUCCACCGAUGACCGCUCUCAUCUGGACAGCCACCUCCCGCCAUCCCUCUGUCCCAUCCUUGGACCUACCCUCUCUCUUGCUGGAUCACUGCUUCAGCUAGUCCUAUUGCCUGAUUUCAUGCUUUCCUCCCUUGUUUUGUUGGAGCACAUCCUGUAGCAAAUGAAAAAUGGUGUUUGGGAAAUCAUUCUUUAGGGACCUCACUUGUGCAAAUGUCUUCACUGUAGUCUCCUGUUGGACGGCUACUUUGGUGAAGUAGGACCAGAAAUCAUCAUCUGCCAGCCCGCUGAAGGCACCCCUUCGCUGUCAUGAGCUUGGCUUGCUGCUGUCGCGAAUUCAGGCGCGGUUCUCAUUCCUGGAAACCUGGGGAACUCUUUCGUUUCUCAUGAUACUAGGUGGGUUGGUUUCCAACCCUUGUGGGGAGAAUCUGAAAACUCAUUUCCUGGAAGAUUUCUUGAAUUAAGUGAUUUGUGAUUCCCUCUUUGCUCGCGCUCUCUCUGCAGGGAGGAGUCCUCGGUGGGGCUCCCGUCAACAGGUCACCCACCUUCCCCCCUUUCUCACCCCUCCCCUCUCUGUCUCUUUCCCUGCUGCUGGGACUCUCUUCUGCUUUGAUCUUUCCCGUCUGCUGAGGUUUUGGUGUGUGUGUUUGGUCCUCAUGCCUUAGUUUCCCAGCCCUUCUGGUUCUCUAAAUGUUCUCCUUACAAUAGCUUCUGCUCUUGGUUCUGGGGUGCACUAUCUCCUCGGAUCUCUUUGAGGAUAUUAAAUGUGGCUACUUCUGACAUUUUCUCCUCCCUGGCUAAUGUCUCUUCCCCCACUCUCCCAUGUUUUGGUGGCUUCCCAGGGUCCAGGCUGUCCUGGAGCUCUGGCUGCUCCCCUCUAAGAAGGGGCUGCAAAGCUGGCAGAGCUCUGAGCCUGGGCGAGGCUUGUGCCCUGGAGCCUCCCUC
rnacentral:lncRNA from 1 species